CUGGCGGCGUGCCUAAUACAUGCAAGUCGAAACGCAUUGUGGUUGAAAUGAUAUGAAGAACUUGUUCAAGAUUUGAUUUUCAACAUUGCAAUGAGUGGCGAACGGGUGAGUAACACGUGGGAAACCUACCUCUUAGCAGGGGAUAACAUUUGGAAACAAAUGCUAAUACCGUAUAAUAAUUAAAACCGCAUGGUUUUAGUUUAAAAGAUGGUCUUGCUAUCACUAAGAGAUGGUCCCGCGGUGUAUUAGUUAGUUGGUGAGGUAAUGGCUCACCAAGACAAUGAUACAUAGCCGAGUUGAGAGACUGACCGGCCACAAUGGGACUGAGACACGGCCCAUACUCCUACGGGAGGCAGCAGUAGGGAAUCUUCCACAAUGGACGAAAGUCUGACGGAGCAACGCCGCGUGUGUGAUGAAGGGUUUCGGCUCGUAAAACACUGUUGUAAGAGAAGAAUGACAUUGAGAGUAACUGUUCAAUGUGUGACGGUAUCUUACCAGAAAGGAACGGCUAAAUACGUG
rnacentral:rRNA from 1 species